GGAGCUCUCUCUCUCUCUCCCCAAUCUGUGACGUUGAAUCGCCUCGAGGGGAAUCGUGUGGAGCCGCUUCACUGCGACUGCAUUAUGCAAUCGGUUUAAAAAGAUGUGGCACAAUCACAAAGACAGGAGAAUCGGCUCACCUGGAUUGUCUGCCACAAAUCGAAUUGCCGCCCAUCCGCCCACGGGAACUGCAAUUGUGUUCAAGUAAGGUGGAUCCACCAAAUUGAACUGUGCGGUUUGGGGAUUAUAGUUGCCCGAGCCGUAUCCAACUACGUAGAAGCUAUAUCCAUGAAGGUGGAUUGGGUGGUUUUCCGUAGAAACCGUCCCCGUGUCCUGUAAUAUGAGUUGAACCCUAGUUCCAUAUUCAAGGACAAAGGUUCUAGUUCCGAUCAUCGACUGGGUGUUAUUAGGACUGUUAUUAGGUGCCCCAUUGACAAAGUCGUAGAACUUCAAAGGCACACCGGGAAAAUCCUCAGUGAACUGGCCAUUAAUUCUAUUGUAAUAAGCUUCAAGAAGAGAAAUUUUGGGUUUGACAAAGCUUAUAUUGUUCAUAGACGCAGCCAUCGUCCCAUUGUUCAAGCCCUGGCAAUUUUGCUGUGGCGUUGGGGAGUGGCACUGUUGAACAUUUACUCCUACAGUAUAAAAGAGAUUCUGAUCGAUCUCCUUUGGAACAUGACCAGAUUUCAAACUCCUAAGCCCAUCCAUGACAGUCUUAACUGCAAGAUUAUCAUUAAAAAUGGGUAGUCUAGCAGGCAAAGACAGGGAAGUGGGCAAAGCACCAAGGUAUUGGAAGUAUGCUAUGGCCGAUAUAUUUUGAAAGGGUACGCCCUGGGCUGACAUGUAAGGACCCAUGGCCAUAGAAUAUUUUCCAAUGGAUUGAUCGGCUGUGACAAGGACAUUCAUUGUCUGGCCUGGUCCAAGCAUCACGCGAUCGGUUGCGAAUGGCUUUGUGUAGUCUGCAUCAGCUUCGACAAUGGUCAUCCUGUGAUUUGCAAUUGAGAAGAAGUUUUCCAUGUUCAGAGCUGCGUUUAUCAGCCUCAGCAGGUAGGUCUUUCCUGGGACCACGUCAAUCCUGUAUACAUCUGCAAUUUUUGGCAAAAUUUAUGACAGGAAACUAGUGGUGAGUCCACAACACUAGAUUAUGUGUAGGUUACCGAGUUAUAUAACACAGUGAUGUUACCCAUAAUAAAUUUAUGAAGAUAGUCAUCAUUUCAUACGAA